rnacentral:rRNA from 1 species
GAUGAACGCUGGCGGCGUGCCUAAUACAUGCAAGUCGAGCGAACGGACGAGAAGCUUGCUUUUCUGAUGUUAACGGCGGACGGGUGAGUAACACGUGGAUAACCUACCUAUAAGACUGGGAUAACUUCGGGAAACCGGAGCUAAUACCGGAUAAUAUUUUGAACCGCAUGGUUCAAAAGUGAAAGACGGUCUUGCUGUCACUUAUAGAUGGAUCCGCGCUGCAUUAGCUAGUUGGUAAGGUAACGGCUUACCAAGGCAACGAUGCAUAGCCGACCUGAGAGGGUGAUCGGCCACACUGGAACUGAGACACGGUCCAGACUCCUACGGGAGGCAGCAGUAGGGAAUCUUCCGCAAUGGGCGAAAGCCUGACGGAGCAACGCCGCGUGAGUGAUGAAGGUCUUCGGAUCGUAAAACUCUGUUAUUAGGGAAGAACAUAUGUGUAAGUAACUGUGCACAUCUUGACGGUACCUAAUCAGAAAGCCACGGCUAACUACGUG